rnacentral:lncRNA from 1 species
CAACAAACUAAUGAUUUAAAAGGUCCAGUAAACAGCAGUUACCUGGGGUACUUUUAAGAUGGUGAAGCUCAGUGAAUUUAAACUCAGUUGGCUGUUAAGUGACUGGAAGGCAAGAACUACAGCAUGUAAGAUACAAAACUUAUGUGAUGGCAGCUCUGGCCGACUUAUAAUUACAAUUUCUCAUUACUUAUUUUUGGUUAAAGAACUAUCACUCAGAUGGUUAAAUCAUUCCCUGCCUUCUCUUAUAGUUACUGAGUGUUGAA